AGAGCGAACGCUGGCGGCAGGCCUAACACAUGCAAGUCGAACGGACCCUUCGGGGUUAGUGGCGGACGGGUGAGUAACACGUGGGAACGUGCCUUUUGGUUCGGAAUAGCUCCUGGAAACGGGUGGUAAUGCCGAAUGUGCCCUUCGGGGGAAAGAUUUAUCGCCAUUAGAGCGGCCCGCGUCUGAUUAGCUAGUUGGUGAGGUAAAGGCUCACCGAGGCUACGAUCAGUAGCUGGUCUGAGAGGAUGACCAGCCACAUUGGGACUGAGACACGGCCCAAACUCCUACGGGAGGCAGCAGUGGGGAAUCUUGCGCAAUGGGCGAAAGCCUGACGCAGCCAUGCCGCGUGAAUGAUGGAAGGUCUUAGGAUUGUAAAAUUCUUCACCGGGUACGAUAAUGACGGUACCCGGAGAAGAAGCCCGGCUAACUUCGUGCCAGCAGCCGC
rnacentral:rRNA from 1 species